GGUCUCACUAUGUAGGUGAAACUGACCUUUAACUCACUAUGUAGCCCAGGCUGGUCUCUAACUCAGUGAUCCUCCUGCCUCUGCCUCCAGAGUGCUGGGAUUACAGGCAUGCGCCACCAUGCCUG
rnacentral:miRNA from 1 species